GCCAAAGUGGUAAAAUUGGCAGACACGUUAGAUUUAGGUUCUAGUUCCGUUAAAGGAAUAGGGGUUCGACUCCCCUCUUUGGUA
rnacentral:tRNA from 1 species